UGUCUUUUUAAGACAAGAAAGCACUGGCCAGGUGCAGUGGCUCAGGCCUGUAAUCCCAGCAAUUUGGGAGGCUGGGGUGGGCGGGUCACCUGAGGUCAGGAGUUUGAGAGCAGCCUGGCCAACAUGGUGAAACCCCGUCUCUACUAAAAACACAAAAAUUAGCCAGGCAUGAUGGCGGGCACCUGUAAUCCCAGCUACUAGGGAGGCUGAGGCAGGAGAAUCGCUUGAACCCAGGAGGCAGCGUUUGCAGUGAGCUGAGAUCGCGCCACUGUAUUCCAGCCUGGGCGACAGAGCAAGACUCCAUCUCAAAAAAAAAGAGAGGACAGCACCAUGUGGAGACAGACACAGGGAGAAGAUGACCAGGCAUUCAGGUCAUGGUGUUGAAGAAGUAAGGAGUGCGAUCAAUUUGAGGUUGCUGGCACCCAGGCCAGCUGAACUAACCUGGAACAUUAGGAACAGGCCAGGGCAAGGCCAGUCUCCUUAUGCUGCCCCAAAGCCUGUUCUUUUAUUCUUCUAAAUGUCAAAACCAAGAGGGAUAAAAAAUAUGGGAUUUUGGGCUAGGCACAGUGGCUCAUGCUUGUCAUUCCAGCACUUUGGGAGGCUGAGGUAGGAGGAUCACUUGAGCCCAGGAGUUUGAGACCAGCCUGGGCAAAGUAGUGAGACCGUAGCUCUACAAAAUAAAAAUUAAAAAUUAGCCAGGCAUGGUGGUUCACGCCUGUAGUCCCAGCUACUCAGUAGGCUGAGGUGAGAGGACUGCUUGAGCCUGGGAGGUUGAGGCUGCAAUGAGCAGAGAUUGCACCAUUGCACUCCAGCCUGGGCAACAGAGUGAGACCCUGUCUUAGGAGAAAAAAAAAGAUGGGAUUUGAAUUGACAUUGCCUCAUGUGUAUGGGUCCAUGUGGGUAAUUUGAGGUCCUUCUUUAGAUCCUUCUGUAAAACUUUAUAUUUUUUCUCAUCUCGGUCUUGCCAGUUCCUUAUUUGUAUCUAGGUAUUUUUAAAAACAGUUUUUGUCGUAUGAUGAAUAUUGUUGGUAUAAAAGAUGAUUGAUUUUUAUUUUAUUGCAUGUCUCAUCAACAUAUUAAAUAUUCACAUUGGUUUUCAUCAUUUUCCAG
rnacentral:lncRNA from 10 species